UACGUAGGGGGCAAGCGUUGUCCGGAUUCAUUGGGCGUAAAGAGCGUGUAGGCGGCCAGGUAGGUCGGUUGUGAAAACUGGAGGCUCAACCUUCAGAGGUCGACCGAAACCAUCUGGCUAGAGUCCGGGAGAGGAGAGUGGAAUUCCUGGUGUAGCGGUGAAAUGCGCAGAUAUCAGGAAGAACACCCGUGGCGAAAGCGGCUCUCUGGAACGGUACUGACGCUGAGACGCGAAAACGUGGGGAGCGAACAGG
rnacentral:rRNA from 1 species